AACGAACGCUGGCGGCAUGCCUAACACAUGCAAGUCGAACGAGACCUUCGGGUCUAGUGGCGCACGGGUGCGUAACGCGUGGGAACCUGCCCUUAGGUUCGGAAUAACUCCCCGAAAGGGGUGCUAAUACCGGAUAAUGUCUUCGGACCAAAGAUUUAUCGCCUUUGGAUGGGCCCGCGUUGGAUUAGCUAGUUGGUAGGGUAAAAGCCUACCAAGGCGACGAUCCAUAGCUGGUCUGAGAGGAUCAUCAGCCACACUGGGACUGAGACACGGCCCAGACUCCUACGGGAGGCAGCAGUGGGGAAUAUUGGACAAUGGGCGAAAGCCUGAUCCAGCAAUGCCGCGUGAGUGAUGAAGGCCUUAGGGUUGUAAAGCUCUUUUACCCGGGAUGAUAAUGACAGUACCGGGAGAAUAAGCUCCGGCUAACUCCGUG
rnacentral:rRNA from 1 species